AUUUUUUUCCAUCUGUAUGUUCAUGUCAAAUCUACGUGAAACUCAGGAGGCUAAGCUUCAUCAAUUUCCAAGCGAACCAAUACAACCAUACGCCACAUCACAAGAAAUUCACGUCAAAGUUGCAACAAAUGCACGCAGGUUCUACCUUCUCGGAAUGUUAUUAACUCAUGAUUUUCUAGUGGAUUUGAAAGUACGGGGCGUUGGGGCGCCUUCUUCGCAGCGAUGUUGAACAUUUGCGCAUCUCCGGCAUCAUGCGAUUGCCCUGGAAUUUCUGGUUCCAUUGCGUAGACAAUAAGAACAUAAUCACCGCAGUCAACAAGUUCAGCUGCCGGGAGAAGAUCGAUGAAACUUAGAGGUGCUGAAAUUCUGGCUCUUUUUGGUGGAUUCGUCCGUUGCUGCUCCUGCACCCGACGGGGGAGACUUUUGUGGUGCUUGUCCUGAUCGCUCAUGAUCGUGUAGGCCGGCAUGUUCCAGAAUUGUGAUGUCUUGUCGGAUGAAGUCGCCUGAAAAAACAUAAACGCACAAGUUAGCGCUGAAUUAUUUUUUUUAAAUUUCAAAAUACAUACCCUCCGUUACGAAAUAUGUAA